rnacentral:rRNA from 1 species
CAUACGAUCUAAGGAUGAAAGCGGGGGAUCGCAAGACCUCGCGCGAUUGGAGCGGCCGAUAUCAGAUUAGGUAGUUGGUGAGGUAAAGGCUCACCAAGCCGACGAUCUGUAGCUGGUCUGAGAGGACGACCAGCCACACUGGGACUGAGACACGGCCCAGACUCCUACGGGAGGCAGCAGUGGGGAAUUUUGGACAAUGGGCGCAAGCCUGAUCCAGCAAUGCCGCGUGCAGGAUGAAGGCCUUCGGGUUGUAAACUGCUUUUGUACGGAACGAAACGGUGAGCUCUAAUACAGUUUGCUAAUGACGGUACCGUAAGAAUAAGCACCGGCUAACUACGUG